GACGAAGGAUGCAAGCGUUAUCCGGAUUCAUUGGGUUUAAAGGGAGCGUAGGUGGUCUUAUAAGUCAGUGGUGAAAUCUUUGGGCUUAACCCAAAAAUUGCCAUUGAUACUGUAGGACUUGAGUAUAGUUGCCGUUGGCGGAAUAUGACAUGUAGUGGUGAAAUACAUAGAGAUGUCAUAGAACACCGAUUGCGAAGGCAGCUGACGAAACUAUAACUAACACUGAGGCUCGAAAGUGUGGGGAUCAAACAGG
rnacentral:rRNA from 1 species